AGGAUCUUCGGCAAAGUACUUCCAGGGUGAAGGAAUGAUCCCAAGAUCCACACCAAUUUCAUCAUACUCCUUCAAAGCCGCUUCCAUGUCUUCUUCAAUAGAAGCAUUAUCAAUCACAUCAAUCGCACCCGUGCGUAAAAGAUCAGCAUAGUGCAUCUCCCUUUCAGGAUCAUUCUGGAAAGACAUCAUGGCAGGGCCCUCACAUAACUCAGAAUAGUGUUUAUAUAUUUCACUGCUUUCAUCUUGAUCA
rnacentral:misc_RNA from 1 species